CUCUCCUCCUCAAAAUUAGCCAAUGACUCCUCCAAGUAUAGAACUGCAUCAACAGGGGUGUUCUGAUUACUAGUUUCUUGAUGGUUAUAGAAACCAUUUUCUUCUUUCCUUUCAUGAUUCAAGUCAACAGAUAGUCCAUCGCUAUCCUCUGAAUUGCUACAAGAAGCUGAGGAAGUUCCACUUCUUGUGCUACUUUCUUUCCUUCUUUUCAACAUCAUUAAUUUCCCUUUUGUCUCAUAUUCUUGCAGCUUCUUUCGACACA
rnacentral:misc_RNA from 1 species